rnacentral:rRNA from 1 species
UACGGAGGAUGCAAGCGUUAUCCGGAAUGAUUGGGCGCAAAGCGUCCGCAGGUGGCUGUGUAAGUCUGCUGUUAAAGAGUCAUGCUCAACAUGAUAAGAGCAGUGGAAACUACACGGCUAGAGUGCGUUCGGGGCAGAGGGAAUUCCUGGUGUAGCGGUGAAAUGCGUAGAGAUCAGGAAGAACACCGGUGGCGAAAGCGCUCUGCUAGGCCGCAACUGACACUGAGGGACGAAAGCUAGGGGAGCGAAUGGG